GAACCUAAUCAACGCCAGCGUUCAAUCCGCUCCGGCAACUGUCCUACCGGCCCGUCCGCCCAGCCCGCCACGUAUCCCUGUCUCUUCCUCUCCAUUUAUUCAGUCGAAUCUGCCUCCAUUGCCACCGUCAGCUCAGAAACCGUCGUCUGUCCCAUCUGUACCGGCGGCUCCGCCCCCACCGCCUGGCAACUCACAUUCGAAUAUUGGUGUGUCUGGAUUUGGGUCGCCUCCGAAUACGUUGACGGAACCUGUGUGGGAUACGGUGAAGAGAGAUCUGUCGAGGAUCGU
rnacentral:misc_RNA from 1 species